rnacentral:tRNA from 1 species
GGAUAUGGUGUAACGGCAACACAACAGACUUUGACUCUGUCGUUGCAGGUUCGAGUCCUGCUAUCCC